rnacentral:rRNA from 1 species
ACAUGAUUACAACAUAGUGUUAAUGCACCAGAUCUCAUUAGAACUUUGUAGUUAAGCGUGCUCAGGAUAGAGUAGUACAUGGAUGAGUGACUGCCCGAGAAGUCCUAGUAUUUUACAUGCC